GAUUGAACGCUGGCGGCAGGCCUAACACAUGCAAGUCGAGCGGAAACGAGUUAUCUGAACCUUCGGGAACGAUAACGGCGUCGAGCGGCGGACGGGUGAGUAAUGCCUAGGAAAUUGCCCUGAUGUGGGGGAGUAACCAUUGGAAACGAUGGCUAAUACCGCAUAAUGCCUACGGGCCAAAGAGGGGGACCGUUCGGGCCGUCUCGCGUCAGGAUAUGCCUAGGU
rnacentral:rRNA from 1 species